rnacentral:rRNA from 1 species
UACGACGGGUGCAAGCGUUACUCGGAAUUACUGGGCGUAAAGCGUGCGUAGGUGGUUCGUUACGUCUGAUGUGAAAGCCCUGGGCUCAACCUGGGAAUGGCAUUGGAUACUGGCGAUCUAGAGUGCGGUAGAGGGCAGUGGAAUUCCCGGUGUAGCAGUGAAAUGCGUAGAGAUCGGGAGGAACAUCUGUGGCGAAGGCGACUGCCUGGACCAGCACUGACACUGAGGCACGAAAGCGUGGGGAGCAAACAGG